rnacentral:rRNA from 1 species
AAUCUUCACAAUGGGCGCAAGCCUGAUGGAGCAACACCGCGUGAGUGAAGAAGGGUUUCGGCUCGUAAAGCUCUGUUGUUAAAGAAGAACACGUAUGAGAGUAACUGUUCAUACGUUGACGGUAUUUAACCAGAAAGUCACGGCUAACUACGUGCCAGCAGCCGCGGUAAUACGUAGGUGGCAAGCGUUAUCCGGAUUUAUUGGGCGUAAAGAGAGUGCAGGCGGUUUUCUAAGUCUGAUGUGAAAGCCUUCGGCUUAACCGGAGAAGUGCAUCGGAAACUGGAUAACUUGAGUGCAGAAGAGGGUAGUGGAACUCCAUGUGUAGCGGUGGAAUGCGUAGAUAUAUGGAAGAACACCAGUGGCGAAGGCGGCUACCUGGUCUGCAACUGACGCUGAGACUCGAAAGCAUGGGUAGCGAACAGGAUUAGAUACCCUGGUAG